rnacentral:rRNA from 1 species
UACGAAGGGGGCUAGCGUUGUUCGGAAUUACUGGGCGUAAAGGGUGUGUAGGUGGCGCCGUAAGUCGGGUGUGAAAUUUCGGAGCUUAACUCCGAAACUGCAUUCGAUACUGCGGUGCUUGAGGACUGGAGAGGAGACUGGAAUUCAUGGUGUAGCAGUGAAAUGCGUAGAGAUCAUGAGGAAGACCAGUGGCGAAGGCGGGUCUCUGGACAGUUCCUGACACUGAGACACGAAGGCCAGGGGAGCAAACGGG